rnacentral:rRNA from 1 species
AGUGGGGAAUCUUGCGCAAUGGGCGAAAGCCUGACGCAGCCAUGCCGCGUGAAUGAUGAAGGUCUUAGGAUUGUAAAAUUCUUUUAGCAGGGACGAUAAUGACGGUACCUGCAGAAAAAGCCCCGGCUAACUUCGUGCCAGCAGCCGCGGUAAUACGAAGGGGGCUAGCGUUGCUCGGAAUUACUGGGCGUAAAGGGAGCGUAGGCGGGUUAUCAAGUUGGAGGUGAAAGCCCAGGGCUCAACCUUGGAAUUGCCUUCAAAACUGAUAACCUAGAGUAUGAUAGAGGUAUGUGGAACUCCGAGUGUAGAGGUGAAAUUCGUAGAUAUUCGGAAGAACACCAGUGGCGAAGGCGACAUACUGGGUCAUGACUGACGCUGAGGCUCGAAAGCGUGGGGAGCAAA